GCUGGGCGGCUGCCGGGGGGGCCCCCUCGCACCUCUCCACCUGGCCGUGGGUGGGGGUUGCUCUGCUGUGGUGGAGGCCCGGACGGUCACCUCGCCGGGGCUGGGGUGGGGUCCGCAGACCCCGGGAGCGAUGAGCGCGCACCUCGGGUAACUCGGCUCGGGACGCCGGAGGCUCCCGUGCAGGGCAGCGCGCGCCGCGGCGUCGCCGGCGCCUGAGGAGAACGCGCCUGAGGAGAGUUGCCGGAAGCCGCCUUCCCGUGCGGAGUUUUCUGUCUCCUGCACGUAGGUUCGCAGCCCCUUUGCAUAAUGCGAGGAAGUGUGGUUUUGUGAACUGGAAGAGGACGUGGCCAGGAGCAGCACCCCUAAAAGAGCAGCCCUUGUUCCGGACCUAAAGGAAACAGAUGGGGAGGUGAACGAGCCGACCGCCUGGCGCCGCGUCCGGAGCUCACCUGGGCUGCGGGGGAGCCCGGCAAGAAGUUAAGUGCUUCCUCUUGGCGAACUGUGCGUCCCAAUGGACAAAGCAGCUAAGGCGAAAAUGACUGAUUCUCGAACCUGAGAGAUGACCAAGGCAGGAGAACAUUAGUGCCACAGUGGAUGACUUAAUUGAUGGUGAGCAUAUUAUUAAUAUCUCUUGUUUGGCAUUGUGGGAAUCGAAGCUCAGAGAAGAAACGCACCGGUUUCCUUUCUGCUUGAUAAGAUACACUCACAGGAGGGUACUCUUAAGUUUUUGCAUCAAGAAGGAAGCAACAGUGCCUGUGCCAUGCUAUGGAAGCAAGAUUUUUAAGACCAGCCUUAGGAUUCUGCAUCAUAAUUUGGAAAUUACUGCGGCCAGACACUUGCAGACGACUGCUGUUUGAAAUUCAUAUGAUGAUUAAAAACAGCUAUUAAAUACUCAUCUUUUACAAAGGACAUGGAUGAACACGGAGUCGGACUUCUGGAAGCCAGAGCUCUCCGCUUUCCUUGUUAGUGACUUCUCCUGGCCUAAUCUCAAAAUCUGAAAAUCUGAAAUGCUUUAAAAUCUAAAACUUUUUGGAUGCUGCAAGUGGAAAAUUCCCCUCUGACACAUUGUAGUCCAAAUUCUGGUAACACUAAAUAUCCAUGAAAUUACCCUCCAGCUACGUGUACAAGGUGUAUAGGAAACAUCAAUAAAGGCCCUAUUUGGACUUGGGUAACAUCCCCAGAUUAUCUCGUUAUGUAUAUGCCAAAUUUCCAAAAUCCAAACAAAUCUGAAACACUUCUUAUGCCAAGUAUCUCGGGUAAGAACUCAACUUGUACUUUUAUAAGAGGUAGGAGCUAUUUUCUAGGUCAUAGGAGGGGAGUUUCAUUACUCCUACCUCUGCUUCUAUACAUUUGUAGCUGUGACCUCUCACCUGGGCACUUGUGUUGAAUCUCAAGAGUUCUCAAGUGUGUGGUGAUCAGCUGCCACACCUCCUGGCAUCCUCUUCUGUCCCCUGAACAAAGGCUAAGUGAGCAAUUGCACACACAGGUUGGAAUUACCCAUAGGAUGCUGUCUGUAACUCAUGCUCUGUAUGUAUGCACAGUGUUUUGAUAGUUUUAUAUAGCUCAAUUUUCUGUAGUAAUAAGAAAGUAUUGAAAGUAUUCCAUAGAGCAAUGGUAUCAUCUCAUGAAUUGAACAAGCACUUAGAAGGUGUCUUUUCCCAAGUGCUCAGCUCUAAAUGGGGCAUUCAGGGAUGGGCAGAGAUAUUUUUCUGUCCCUAAGGUACUUAAAAUAGAAGGAUGACAUAAGGUAGGCAUUGUGACCCAAAGGCGCAGCUCAGGACACCAGCUGUUUUGCUAGGCUUGCAAGCUAAGAGUAUAAGCAACUAUAAUACAGAAGAGUGUGGGACAGAGAUGUAUGUGGCCCCCAAGCUUGCACUAUUUACUGUGUGGUUCUUUACAGUGAAAGUUCGCUAACCUUUGACACAAGGAAUGCAAAGUAAGGUAGAAUAUUCUAAGAUCCCUAUCAAGAAUGGUUAAGAAGCCAUUGGAAUCCAGAGGAGGGAAAUGCCUCUCCUGACUCAUGAGAUCAAAGGAAGUUCUAUGGGGGGAGGGAGGAAGCCAUACAGAAGAGCCUGUGUUUCAGUGAGAAGGGGCAGAUGAGAAGCCACUCCAGGGCAAGGGAAAGCAGAGAGCUUGUGUGUUUCUCACCUAUGGGAUGCACACAGGAGUACCCUGGGGAACUUCACAAUUGUAUUCAGACCGGAACCUAAAAUUGAAAACAAUGGAAACACACAGAAUACAUAACCAACACAGGGAAAGGAUUAUUUCAAUGACUUUUGAACUCAGUAGUUUGACAGCAUUCAUUAAGGGGAAAUGCAAGGAAAAAAAGAACUGCAAAGAAAUCUUAAACUUCCCUUAACAGUUUUAUUUGUAGCAGUAAGACUGGCAUUUUAACUUUGAAAUUAUUUUAGCUGAAUUAGGAGACAAAACAAGUUUGUAAAUACAUUGAUUUUUAUUAAGAAUCAAAAUUUCUGAUAUAAGAGAGAAGAGUACAAACAAAAACAUUAAAGGCAGAAGUACGUUAGGGAUCAGCAUUGUAGCAUAGAAGGUAAAGCUGCCUGUGAUUCUGGCAUCCCGUAUGGGUUCCAGUUCCUGUCCUGGCUGUUCCACUUCCUGUCCAGCUUCCUGCUAAUGGCCUGGGGAAAGCAACAGAAUAUGGUGUUUGGGCCACUGCCUCUCCUGUGAGAGAUCUAGAUGAAGCUCCUAGCUCCUGGCUUUGGCCUGCCCCAGUGCUGGCUGUUGCAGCCAUCUGGGGAGUGAACCAGCAGAUGAAAGAUCUCUCUCUCUCUCUCUCUCUCUCUCUCUCUCUCUUUCUCUCUCUCUGUAACUCUAGCUUUCAAAAUAAAUAAAUAUUUUUUUUUAAAAAAAGA